GGGGCAGGUGUAGGCACACAGCGUCCCGGACUGAAGCAGGCGAGCUGGGUUCUGGGUCUCUCUUGUCUUAUUUUCUGCUAGGCCAUCUCAUUGAUCCCCCCGUCCCCCCCGCCUCCUGCUCCUGAGUGCAUCAUCCUCCUCCCUCCCCUCGCACACUCUGGCUGGGAUCCCACUGUACCGUAGCUCCUGCCCAGCCCUGCCGAGGGCGUGAGCAGGUCGCCGUGAAAAGCAGAUUGAGCGUGCUACGUUGUGAAAAGACUAGAAGGAGAUAUUCCAUCUGCGUGUGGCGGGGCUUCAAGCUAUUUUUAUUCUUUAUUAUCCAAGCUUUCGACAAUGAACAAAUAUAAAUUUCAAAAUGUCAAAUAAUUUUUUUUAAAAUGAUUUGUUAUUUGAGAGGCAGAGUGAUGCAGAAAGAGAGAUCUUGCAUUUGCUGGUUCACUCCCCCAAAUGGCUGCAACAGCCGAGACUGUGCCAGACUGAAGCCAGGAGCCUGGAACUCCAUCUAGGUCUCCCAUGCCGGUGCAGGGAUCCAAGUGCUUGGGCCAUCUUCCACUAUUUCCCCACACCCAUUAGCAGUGAGCUGGAGCAGAAGUGGAGCAGCGGAGGCCUGAACCAUUGCUCCAGUAUGGGACGUCAGAGCCGCAGGUGACUGCCUAACCUGCUGUGCCACAGUACCAGCCCCAAGCUUUUGUUAUUUAAAAAAUACCCUGUCCUUGGCUCAAUUCUGUUUUCAUCCAUGCUUUCUCAGUAAAUAUCUGAAGAAGAAUCCUGUCUGUGAAGCCUUGGUCAGCACGGGGAACUGUCAAACCAUGACUUUUUAAAUAUAUAUAUGUAUAUAUAUGUGUGUGUGUGUGUAUAUAUAUAUAUAUAUACACAUAUAUAUGAAAGGCAGAGUUACAGAGAGACAAAGAGGUCUUCCAUCCUCUGAUUCACUCCCCAAAUGGCCACGACAGCCCAAGCUGAACUGAUCUGAAGCCAGGAGCCAGGAACUUCUUCUGGGUCUCCCAUGCGGUGCAGGGGCCCAAGGACUUGGGCCAUCUUCUACUAUUUUCCCAGGCCAUAGCAGAGAGCUGGAUUGGAAGUGGAGCAGCAAGGACUCGAAAUGAUGCCCACAUGGGAUGCUGGCACUGCAUGCGACAGCUUUACCCACUAUGCCACAGCGCCAGCCCCGCUACUGUCCUUCUAAUACUAACUUCCAAGAACUUGAUUUUCUCCUGUCUUUUGGCAGGGAAGCAAUUGAGAGGGCAUUUCUAGUUUGCAUUCUAAAGAAAAUAGUUCUUCCUUUUAUCUUCCCUUAGUUAUUGUACUGGUUUUGGUUCUGACCUAAGAAGCAGGUCGGGGAGGCCAGUGCUGUGGUGCCGGGGGUUAUGGCCACCACAUGAGAUGCCCGCACCUCACAUAGGAACACUGGUUCAAGUCCUGGAUCCUCCGCUUUCAAUCCAGCUUCCUGCUAAUGCUCACCCUCAGAACACAGCAGAAGACGGCCCAAGUCCUUGGGUCCCUGCCAGGAACAUGGGAGACCCAGAAGGAAUUUCUGCCUCUUGGCUUCAGCCUGGCCCGGGCCUGGAGGUGAAGAACUCACAGAUACUGAAGACUAGCAGGAGAGAGGUCUUCAAAAAGUUCAUGGAAAAAUCAUAUUACUGGGGGAAAAAAAGCUGCUUGGAUUUCCAUCUUCUUUUCACACCCAAUAAUAACUUGCCUUUCAAUUCCAUUUUUCUGCAGACUCUCUGAAGUCCCCUUGUAUUUUCCAGGUUGUCAUCAGCCCCUCCAACACUUAGCCCUGCCCCCCUGCCAAUUCCCACCCCAGGGAAAAGGGCUACUCUGUGUGCCUUCCAAAUCCUGAGUCUCCUAGGCCGCAGGAUCGUGGGCGGGAGUGGAGGACCUGGGACUCAGCCCAGUCCUCGCUGGGCCUGCUGACUGCUGGCAUCAACCCCAGGGCCCGCCUCCCUCCUCGCUGCGUGGUCUCCCUCUCGGGCGUGGUGCCGCCCCCACCCCCUGCACAGGCGGCUCCUGUCCUACCACCUGCACUGCUGCCACCCCGGGAGUCCUCAGCAAGCCGCUUUACUUCAGCCUCAGCUGUACAGAAAACCUCCCGCCAUUCAGUCUUCAAAAUGCGCUGCCUUCCCUUCCCCGGGGCCGCCUCUGCUGCUUCUCCUGGCCCUCCCUGACCACUUGUGUCCGUUCCUCCCCCCGCCUGGACUGGUUCUCCGGGGCUCCUCCCUCUGCCCACUGUUCUCAGCCCACGCUCUGUCCCUGGUCAGAUUCUGUCUUCGCUUCUGUUGGUUCCUAGUUCCCGGAGCUCCUGGGGUGUCCCAGGGGCCUGGAACCACCAGCUCCGGAGCCGGACUGUCCUUUAGGUAGAGCAACAGGGACCGAGCCUGGCUCGCUGUGCACAGGAGGGCUGAUUGGAAGGACGGCCAGGUGGUCCCCAAGAGCCAGGGGGACUGCUGAGCCCCCUGGCGCCCAGAGGCCCAGUGCAGAGCUGAGCACCAGGUCACUGUGUGGAUUCAAGGUCCCAGGAGCAAAUUCCACUCGGCCAGCUCGGACCCAUGGUGCCUCCCAAACCUGCUUGCUUUCUGCUCAGUUCUCCAUCUCAGUUGGUGGCCCUGGCACCCACACUUGGUGGAGGUGAAUACUCUUUCUCUCUCUUUCUCUCUCCUCCCCACCCCUCGUAUCCCAAAGCCAAACCACGAUCCCACCCUGAAGUUCCACCUCUUUAAGGAGUUGGCCAGGCAGGUGUCUGCUCCCCCUCAUUCGGAUCUCCGACCGGUCUGGGGUCUUCCUAGAUCUCACCUUGAUAACGAGUCAGCCCCCUAGAGUCUCCCCAUCUCCAGUCUUGCCUACUUCAAACCCACCCUCCGAGUGACAGCCAAGGGGAUCUACAUGAAACCCAAAUCUGCCCGUGCGACUCCCCAGUUUAAACUCAGUGCUGGAGGGUGAGCCGUGGGACUUGCAGUCCAGGAUUCCUGAUACAAGGACAACCCCGCCAGGGCCUGCUCCUUCCUACAGAUCUUCCCUGCUGCUUUGAGGGGCCUCCCUCUCUCCCUACUGCCCCAUCCCCAGCCUGGCGAGCGCCACUGCUCCUUAAUGCUCAGCGGAGCCCUCACUCACUGGGCUGCCUUCCCUGAAGUCUUUCCGGCCCUGUCCAGUGUUGGGUGCAGAGUGGAUUGUCCAUGCUCCCACGGUGCCUUGAACAUGUCUCUGCCAUGGCCCCGACCCACGUUUGAUAAAUAUGUUUAUGUACUUAUCCCUCCUCCUAUCUCUAAGUUCUUUAAAAAGCAGGAGAGGACCAGUAAUAUAGUAGACGCUCAGUAAAUAUUUUUGACUGAUCAGUGACCUUGUUAAAUCAUAGCAGCUUCCUCACUGCAAAAAGGGGGUAAGUGUCUGUUGUAAAAUCACACAGGAUAAUGUCAGUGAAAAGCCUGGCACACAGCAAAGGCUCAGUUAAAAGCCGCUUUCUGGGACCGGCACUGUGGUGUAGCGGGUAAAGCUGCCGUCUGCAACACCAGCAUCCCACAGGGGUGUGGGUUCGGGUCCUGGCUAUACCACUUCUGAUCCAGCUCUCUGCUGUGGCCCGGGAAAAGCAGGAGAGGAUGGCCCAAGUCCUUGGGCCCCUGCCACCCACGUGGGAAAUCCGGAAGAAGCUCCUGGCUCAUGGCUUCGGAUCAGCUCAGCUCUGGCUGUUGCAGCCAUUUGGGAAAAGAAGCAGCGCAUGGAAGACCUUUCCCUCUGUCUCUCCCUCUCUGUAACUCUCCCAAAUAAAUAAAUGUUUUUCACUUUCCUUACCAUUCAUUCUCCUGCAACAAUUUUCGUUACAAGGGAAAGGGCUUCCUAGCAUGCUUGGUUUAACCGUGUGCCUUGCCUCGCCUCGCCUCCAGAGCAUAAGCUCUGCGAGAGAGCGGGGCCAGGUCUGCAUUAUUCAUGACUAAAUCUCUUGCACAUGGCAGCACUUAAUAUAUAUUUUUAGGGUAGAUGAAUAUCUCCUGCAUAUGCUUUUUUGAUCUUUCGUUUGCACCUUCAGUGAAUUUAAUUAUUUCCCCCCUUUUUUCUCAUUACAUAAAUCACUGGCUUCAGUGUAUUGGGAAUUCAUUGUUUUGCGUUUGCAAACCAGCCAGAACUUAGGCAAGAACAGAGGCUGGGCUACUGGAGCGGCCACGCGGCUGGCCACACUACCAGCCACACUGUCUGCAAGUGUGCAGGGAAGGGCACUGACCCUGCCGCUGGCUGCGAGCUGUUCAGAGCUCAUGCGCUCCAGGACCUGGCUCAUUUCAUCCUCCUGUUACUGCCAGGAGGAAGGUAGCCUAUGACUGUGUCAGGUAGGGCCCCAGCAGGAGACGGCUCAGCACACUCAAGGGUUUGCAAAAGGGACUUCUCUAACGGUAUUGGCAAGGUAAGAAAGUCAGCGAGGGAGAACGCGGUACCCCAGGGCUGCACCAGCUCCAAGUGCAGGGAGCUUGACCUUACUUGUCUCCUGCCGGGGCUCACCAAGGCCAAAGGCAACCAGAAGACCAGGGGUCGCCCGAGCCUUCCAGCCCGUGAGGAGCCUGAGAAGAGGCGAGAGUGACCAUGGGAGAGCGAAGUCAGGCAGCUCAAGGGGACGGAUCUCAAGUGGCCCAGCUUUCCUUCUGCAGGCUCAGCCCCCCGGCCCCCAUAACCACGGCCGGGGACUCCUAUUCCCCAGCGCUGCGCGCUCGCGAGCACGGCUCUCUCCUCGCCGUUGAGACCAGGCUUCUGGGCUGAGCUGCUUUUCCAUGAGGAUCCUCAGAAGCGCUCAUGGCAGCGCGGGACGAGCGGGCGACCUGUCAUCCGGAGCGGAGCGACACGCACGUCCACGCACACAUGUGCCCGCGCACGCACCGCGCUUCUUCCUGAGCUCCCUGGAAGCCACGUGGCACCUCUCUCCUGCCAGCGUGGAGCAGCCCCCAGAAAGCAGAGACUUGGGGAAUGCACUGGCCAAGACUCGGGUCCUGCCUCUGUCACUAGCCAGGUGGGGACCACGUUACAAACCAGAGGUCGGGGGUCGGGUGGAGAGGGCGCUGUCAGGGUUGAAUGCAAUGGGAAGUUUGCUUUGCACUCUCAGUGUUGGGUAAAAACCCCAUUGUGGUCACUUCUGGAACUUGGCACUACCGUGGCUCUCUGACCCAAUGCCUUCUCCCAGCUUUGGGAAUUCUGCAAGAAGGAAUACAGCCACAACUAAGAAGAUUGGUGCCUGGCUAUCUCCGAGGCUGGGAGCACUUUCUUUUCUUGAUUUAUUUUUCCAAGUAUUUUCUUCCGUCUGAUGAAAUAUGGUUGCUAAAGCACGGGAAGAAGGACGACGGACACACACUGGGCAGGGCCUACAGGAGAAAGUGACAUCCGAAGAGGCGAGGCUACACUGGCGGCGCCAGCCGGAACCGUGCUGCUCCUAGCUCGCCCAGGCUUUGCUCUGCCCCGGCCACCGGACUGCCCCAGGGUGGCUCGCUCCGUGCGUGUCACCACAUUAUGACCGUGACCUUCCUUUGUAACAAAGAGUGUCUGAGCCUCUGUCCCAGCCUGCGCGCAGCGCAGGAGCAGGAUGCCGGGCGCCCUCCCCAGGGCGCAGCCGCCCCCGCAUCGCCUCCCUGCUCCCUGCUCUGGCCCAGGGCAGUAGCAGUGCGUCAGCCCCUCCCCCAGCUUUGUCUGUGGUCAGGGAGAGGUAGGGGCCCCGGCAGGCUGGAUGGCUGCAGUCAGAAGCCCAGCUCUGAAGGCACAGAAGAGGCGGUAGCGUCUUCUCCUAUGGAGGAAGCUAUUUUUGUCUUUCAUCUGCAGGGACUGGGUUCCAAAAUAGGAGACAAGUACCGCGAGGAGAGUAAAAGCACAGCCAAUGUCUCCAGCUCAGAGGACAGCAGAUCACUGCCAUUUCAACAAGUUGCUGGCCGUGAUGGUGGAGAACAGAGCAGGUUCAGAGCAGAGGCAACGUCUGGAUGAUGAGAUCGGACCUAGCAGAAGGCAGGCCCUGAGAGGGAUUCUGGCGUGGCCCUGCAAGAGGGGAGGCCCCAGACCCGGAGCCGAGAGCAGAUGAAGUAUGCAGCCGCCCGAAUCCACCCGCAACCGUAAGGGGAGAGCUGGCCCAGAGUGCAGGGAGAGUCCCAUCCAGAGGAUGAGAGGAGCGACGCCGAGAGAGGAGCAGGCACAGUGGCACCGUGGAAGCUCCCGCCUCACGCUGGUCUGCAGCUGGCACACGCCGUGGGUGAAGCCAGCCUCUUAGAAUUGGUGGAGCUGGGUCGGCGCUGUGGCGUAGUGGGUAAAGCCACUGCCUGCACUGCAGGUAUCCCAUAUGGGUACCUGCUUGCAUCCCGGCUGCUCCACUUCUGACCCAGCUCUCUGCUGUGGCCUGGGAAAGCAGUAGAAGAUGGCCCAAGUCCUUGGGCCCCUGCACCCACAUGGGAGACCUGAAGGAAGCUCCUGGCUCCUGGCUUCGGAUUGGCACAGCUCCAGCAGUUGCGGCCAUCUAGGGAGUGAACCAGCAGAUGGAAGACCUCUCUCU